ACACACACACACACGCAAACAGGUCCACGCAGGGACCUGGAGUGAGGCAGGAGACCAAUAUUCUGCCCAUAGCCAACCCAAGCCCUCUUUGAGGGGCUGCGAAGACAUCCUUUCUGUCCCUUCCAAACUGUCCAGCCUCCCGCGGCCGCUCCGGGCUCUCCGGGGAGGAAGCGGGAGCCCAGAGCUCCCUCCGGGCAGGCGGGCGCGGAGAAAAGCCCGGGGUGGGGGUGGGGGAGUUUCAAAACCGUUAGCUCGCGUUUUUUUUUUUUUUUUUUUUUUUUCCUUCUCUUUCCCCUCCCUCGCUAAGGUUUCUUUUCUUUUCUCUUCCUGUCCAAAUAUUUCAAAUUUCCGCGCCUUAAAUAACAGUCUCUUUUUAUUUAGUUGGUUUCCUCGGCAGGUUUGUCCUCACGCUCGCCUCUGCCCUCCGGCGCUCCCGGGCGCCUCCGCCUCCGGCGCCGCAGCGCAGCCCGCAGCCCGCGGGGCGCAGGGCGCCCGCCGGAGCCACAGCCCCUCUGGCCGCGGCGACCUCGCCUGACCCCGCUCUCCGGGCGCUCAGACCCGACGAGGGCCACCCCCCGCCCUGACGCCUGUCUGCCUCGCAGCUCCGCUUCCCCGCCCGGACUUUGGAGCCUGUUCUUGCUUUGGCGUUUGGAGCACGAUCGCCUGGGAGCCGCGGCGACGGGAGCGCAGCGGGGGAGGCCGGUGGCGGGAGCCGGUCCCAGCCCCCAGCCCGCGGGUAACCUUGGCGGCGCCCUCCGAGGGGAAACGUGCGAGCUUCAGGUGUUAGGAUGUGGGUUUGGAACUUUCUGCGCCUUCUUCAAUCCUCAAAGACAUCAAAUAAGGGCAUGGUAACAUACCAGGCAAGCGAGCAAAGGUAUUCCUUGCUGCCCACAGCACCGGCAAAAGCACAAGGGUAACUCACAUUUUGUUUCCUGAGUUCUAAAAUGGCUUCUGAACCAUCCAGAGGUACCAGCACAUACGAGAAAGGGGAAGAGAUGGGGCAGGAGGAGAAUUUGUACAUUAAAGAGAAAUACACAGAUAUUAUUACACUUCAGCUAUUCCACCUCACCUCUCUUUCUCCCUACCCCCAUCCUCAUUGGUCAGUAUGCAGGCCUAUUCAGAAUCCUCUUCUCUCAUUACCCCAUCCUAAAAAUCUAGUUAGCUAAAAAUAUCAGCUCUUUUUGGUAGAAAGUUUAAAAACCUUAUCCAAACUACCCAUCAUUUCUUUUGAACAAUAAAAAGAAACCCUACAUAUAAUCAAUAGUAUAAAAGAAGAAAUCAUUUAGCAAGACCUCACAGGCACUCAAAUUAGUAUAAUAGUGAUAUUGUCUCUUAACAGUAAAAUAAUGGGGCCAUUUCUGGGAUUAACAGGUGAAAAGCUAAAAAAUCUCCAUUGAAAUGUUUGGAAACAGAAGUUUCUGUUUUUCCUUACAUUUCAUCAGUACAGUAGUUAGUUAUUUAAAGAAAAUUGAUACUUUAUCUUGACCAUAUGAAGCAGUAUCAUGCCAAAUUUUUUUGUUCUAUGCCCUAGUUUUUCAGAUUAGUUAUGUGAAUAGUAAAAGUUCAUAUACAGAACUGAUAUCUUUUAAUGUUAAAGUUUUAAUUUAGAAAUGCAACCACAAUAUCACAACCAAAUUAAAAUAUAGUCCAUUUCCACUCCUGUUUCUUCUAACUGUACAGUUUGCACAACUUGCUGGUUAAAGAAGUCUGCCCUGAGUUUAAAAUUUAUACCGUGGAAACAUGAUUUCUUAAAGUAAAAUAAAACUUACUGGUCUUUAGAACUAACUAUAAUUUGGAUAUUCUAUAUACAGCUAAUGUAACAAUAUCUCCAUCUCUUACAUUUUGGAACUAUUGUGAAAGCCAAAUGGGCCUAAAUAGUUCUUGUUCUAGUUUCUCUUUCAGAUGUUUUUAUUGAGAAGAGACUGUCCUCAAUGAUGCAGUAGCAUUCUGAUGAUGCCCAUUCUGCUAAUUCAAGAACUUCAGACCGAACUUUUACAGGCCAUUUUAAAAGAGGCAUGCAUUUCUUCUUUUGUCAAAGUUUAGAAUAGAUAUAAAUAAAUGUUAACCUCUGAAA